UAGUCACACUUUAAAAAUCUGGGCAAAAUAUAUGUCCAGCAAACAGCCAAGAGCCAGAUGUAUUAAAUGAUCAUAUUUACGCUCCCAAAAGAAAAUUCAAAAUGAAGCAUGUUGAUAAACAUUUUGGAUGUGAUGUUGGAGAACAAUUGCAACCUGCCCAGAUGUUCAGCUCGCCCGAAGGCUGCCUCCUUGGUGACUUGUUUCAUCUUGAGUCUAGAGAGUCCAGGCUGGGGAAGAAAACCACCUCCAGCCGGCCGUUCCAGCACAGCCCCACUGGCCAAAGCACACACUCACACAAUGAAAACACUGAAACUUUUUCUUAAAACAAAUUUUUCUCCCAUUGUCAUGGUUCUGUAUAUUAACACAAAAUUUUCUUUUCUCAUAGGAGAGAUUAUUUCAUUCAAUAUUUUUUAUGAAUUAUUUACCAUUUGUACUUCAAUAGUAGCAGAAGACAAAAAAGGUCAUCUAAUACAUGGGAGAAACAUGGAUUUUGGAGUAUUUCUUGGGU
rnacentral:lncRNA from 1 species